UACGGAGGGGGCUAGCGUUGUUCGGAAUGACUGGGCGUAAAGCGCACGUAGGCGGCUUUGUAAGUCAGAGGUGAAAUCCCGGGGCUCAACUCCGGAACUGCCUUUGAGACUGCAUCGCUUGAAUCCAGGAGAGGUGAGUGGAAUUCCGAGUGUAGAGGUGAAAUUCGUAGAUAUUCGGAAGAACACCAGUGGCGAAGGCGGCUCACUGGACUGGUAUUGACGCUGAGGUGCGAAAGCGUGGGGAGCAAACAGG
rnacentral:rRNA from 1 species